rnacentral:lncRNA from 1 species
AGCUGAUAGCCGACGAGGUACGUAGCACCGAGUCGUCUAUCAGCCAUAUACGACGAGAGCGAAUGGUAUAAUUGUUUUAUAAUAUAGUCUAAUAUAGCCAUUAACUGAAGCAGUAAUUAAUUAUUCACUGUUACAAUGUGUUGACAAUUUGUUCGGCCAAAACCCGCUUGAAAAUUUGAAAUACUUUUGUUUUACAACUCGA